AAAGCUUUAAGUUAAAAAAACUAUAAACCUUCAAAGUUUAAAUUAUAAAUAUUUGUAAGCUUUA
rnacentral:tRNA from 1 species